UCCUACGGAAGGCAGCAGUAGGGAAUCUUCCACAAUGGGCGAAAGCCUGAUGGAGCAACGCCGCGUGAGUGAAGAAGGUUUUCGGAUCGUAAAGCUCUGUUGUUGGUGAAGAAGGAUAGAGGUAGUAACUGGCCUUUAUUUGACGGUAAUCAAC
rnacentral:rRNA from 1 species